rnacentral:pre_miRNA from 1 species
AUGUAGGGCAAUCUGUCUCUAAAUAGGAAUAAAUAACUCUUAAAAAAUGUAUCCUGGAUCUUUUUUCCCUUUAAAGAAAACAUCUUGU